GAGCACGGCACCGGCACGGACACGCUCCCCUCCGAGGGAUGCGCUCGGAUGGGGGCCACCGGCAGGUCCCCGGGGCUACCAACGUGUUCCCGAGGUCACUGCCGGGUCCCUGGGGCCACCAAUAGGUCCUCAGGACCAUCAACAGGUCUUCAGGGCCACCAAUAUAUUCCUGAGGUCACCAGCAGAUCCCUUGGGCCACCAACAGCUCCUCAGGGCCACCUAUAUAUUCCCAAGGUCACCAGCAGGUCCCUGGGGCCACCAGUAGGUCUUCAGGGCCACCAAUAUAUUCCUGAGGUCACCAGCAGAUCCCUUGGGCCACCAACAG